CUACGGAGGGUGCAAGCGUUACUCGGAAUCACAGGGCGUAAAGCGCGCGCAGGCGGGCUGAUAAGUUGGAUGUGAAAGCCUACGGCUCAACCGUAGAACUGCAUCCAAAACUGUCAGUCUAGAGUCUGGGAGGGGAAGAUGGAAUUAGUUGUGUAGGGGUAAAAUCCGUAGAGAUAACUAGGAAUACCAAAAGCGAAGGCGAUCUUCUGGAACAGUACUGACGCUGAGGCGCGAAAGCGUGGGGAGCAAACAGGAUUAGAUACCCUAGUAGUCC
rnacentral:rRNA from 1 species